ACCGAGCAACCCCCCUUCCAGGAAUAAAGCCGGGUGGGGAGCAGAAGAAAGGCGACGCAUCUGGCCAGAGACGUGACAAAGAGCUGGUUUCAUUCUCAGAAAGAGAAGCACUGGAGCAAAGGGCUGAAGAAUCCCAACUCCGCUCUGGUCAUCUUUCAGUCUUAUCUGGAGCUCAGAAGCCGGUUCUGGACUCUACGGGGAUCGAAAGGCAAAGUUUCCCACUCUUCUCACAAAACAAAUCAGAAAAUGUUUCAAAAACAGGAAGGGAAACUGGGAAGUUUAAUCUAGAGGGGAAAUUUGAAAUCAUCAUAACUUUUAACUGCAUAAAACAAUAUAAAUGAACCUCUUUAGUUUAUCAAAUUAAUAUUCACAGUAAGCUCUUCAGAAUUGUCUCAGCUUUGAAGGUUUAAUAUUUGUUGAUGCAGUAAAUUUGACUCUUUCCAGGAUCAAGAAGCUGAAGAAGCUGCUGCCACUUUCUUACCCCCCGGCUCACACUAAUGAUGACUCAGCACUUCUCUGUUAAGCUGUUUCUCUUUUAGGCAACGCGUCAGUAAGAGCUGCAGAGGAAACCAGAUAUUUACAUACACGUAAAAAGACACAUAAUUUAAUUUUCAUCAGAGGAACCAGUUCCUGUUUUUAGGACAGCUGGGUGUUAAUGUGCAUCUUGAACCUCCAGUCGGUCGUGGCUGAUUGCUGCUUGUACUGAGCCACGUUCUGGUUCUGGUUCUGCUAGAGGUUUCUUUCUGUUAACAGGGAGCUUUUCCUCUCCACUGUCACCACAUGCAUACUUGGUAUGCAGGACUGCUGUAAAGAGAUCGUCUGCUGUUGCUACGCUGCCAGUCGGGUUUUCAUCAGCAGCAGUUUCCAUUACAGACGAGACAAAACUCUGUUGAUAUUCUGCUCAUAGCACAAAAACCUUCUAUCAAAAAACAUUAGUUUUUCUUUUAAAAUGACAUUUCCAUUAAGCAAAUGUUUUUUUUAAUUCCAAGUUGCGUAAUUUUAAGGCCAGAACCGGUAGCACUGGGUCGGUUUGCAGGCGACCUCUCUCUCACACCUUUCAGUGGCUGAGAAACUUUCUGACAGACUUCGACUCUUUUAGUCCUUCAGCUGCUAAUCUGGAGCUUCAGAAACUAAAAACUGGAAAAAAAUGACAGCCGGCGUUCAGAGAUAAUGUCUCAGAUCCUUAUAGAGACAAUAAAACAUCAGUCACCCAUUUUCACUUUAAGUCUGAAUGUUUCAUAUUUGCAGCUCUUGCCACAGAUCUUCAUUUCAGGAACUGACUUUUUUUGGCUUGAUGACAUGCAUAUCUUUUUUAAGUUCCUGAGUUCAUUUGAUAAGAACUCAGAUGUUGUCAUUAAAACAUACCUGAAAGUUAAAGUUAAUUAAAAAUGAAAAGCAUGCAGUGAGGUUGAAUGGCUGGAUGAGUCUAGUGAUAAAGAGGUGAUGUGAAUAUAAAAUACAAUGAGCUCAUCUGAAUCAUCGUGUUUGUUGUGGGUGACAAGGGAGGGUUGGUUGGUCACGAUGUGUGAAAGAACAGUCAGUGCUUCUUUCCCCCAGCUGAGAAAAUGACCUGCAGACGUUGAUGGUGCUGAAGUAGAAGGAAAUGCUGCUUUCACAAGCGCUGGUUGAACAUGACGCACUCAAACUCAAACCAUGGUGGGGAAAAAACAACAAUGUUUACACGUUUAAACAGACCUGCACCCCGACAUUAAGUGAAGCAUUCAGAAAUCACAGGGCAUCAGUAGAUCUACUAGAGCGGUUUUAUUUCACGGUUCCAUCCAGAAACACUUUGGCUCAAAGUUUUCUACCUGAGAGAGGAUCUGCUCACUCCCUGUCAGUUUAAAUCUGUAACCAGGUUCACAUGUUCCAAAAACAAACUGGAACUGUAUGCUUAAUGUUUUAUUGUCAUGUUUUUAUAUUUUAUUGCUUUAUAUGCAGGAUUCUGAAUAUGCAGUCAACAUUAUGUUGUAUUAUUUUAAAUUACUUAUUUCACUUUCUAAUAUUUUUAGAUGUGUUGUUUAAAACUAGCUCACGUUGUUCUGUUCAGUCUGUCUGUCUCUAUCAAAUAAACCUAACAAAACAUGAAAAUGUUUUCUACUGCAGAAAGGCGGCCAUUACAGUCCUGACCUUCCUCUGCAACAUUUUCAUGUUGCGGCUCUCUGCUCUCGUUUUUCAUUUUUCACCUCAGCAAAUUCAACACGGAUCCAGAGACUCCCUUUGUUUGGCCGUUAACAUCCAAUAUUUUCCAGCAGCUACAUGAAAGGACUUACUGACUCUCUUAAUCUCUAACACACCUUGAACCAUGCUGUGAGUGUGGCUAGACCUCUCUAUACCACACACUAAUUAGAGAGUGGAGGGUCUGGAGAGCAAUAAUAACACCUCAGCAGCACAAUGUGCCGUCCACGUGCCGAAGUAUUCCUGCUUGUUAAGCAGAGAGAAAAAUGCUUCAUGCUCAGCUUCCUGGAAACAUUUUGGAAAGGCAACAAUUCAUGUGAAUGGCAAUUCAACAUACUUUAGAGUACUUUGAAUUACUCUAAAGUAAUUCAAAGUACUGUUUGAAUUGUUUCCUUUAGAGGAAAACAAAGAAACAGGAAAAAAAAACCCCAUGAAGCUUCAUUUAAAACAGAUCAGCAGUCAAACCUAAGACACGUAUACAUGGUGGUUAAUUUAAAAAAUGCAGAAAGUUGCUUUGAUGGUCAUAAUUACAGGAUGUGUAAAAGUCAACAGUCGAUGGAUUAAAAGUAGGAAAUGUUCACUUAGAAAAACAGGUUAAAAUGUUUCUACUCCUGCAGAGAAUGGUCAUAUUUUAAGUAACAUUUCAAUUAAAUAUAAAAGUAAGCAGAUUAAGUGAUUGUAUGUAGAAUAUAUUAGGACUUUAAAUAAAUAUUGUAUGAUAUUAAACUGUUUUAUUAACUCACCUGCUCAGGGACAUCAGAUGGAAACUAGCUUAAGUCUUUUAUUAAUGUUUUUUGUCCCUGUUUUAAAUAAACUUACAAAAAACUAAAGAAGUCAUAUUUUGCUUAUCAACAACAACCCAAUAAUAAAAUAUGUUAAUUUCAUGCCACUAAAUGAACACACUGUUUGUUUUGAUGAAGGUUCACUCAAAGCAUCAUACUAAAUGCUUGAAGAGGCUCCAACGGCAGCACUACCUGACCUAUUUUCUGAUGAAUUCUGAUAAUAAUGUUCAUUACUUACAGGCUCAGUAAUGAACAUCUCAUCCUCAGAAUCUCAUGCUCUGAAUAUAAAACCUUUAAUAUAUUCUGUGUUUUAUUUUCUGAUAUAUUGUCUGCUGGAUUCAAAUGUCUGUUGUCGCCUAAAUUAAAAAAUAGUUCACUGUUCCAAAUGAUUUGUAUUCCCAACAAUCCUAACAAGACAGUCAGCUUGGUUCUCAGCAGUGUUUUAGGAGGAGCAUGAACCAAGCGCUGGAGGAAGAUGAUGUGAGGAAGAUGAUGUGAUUUUCCUCUGGGGAUGACGGAGUGAUUCAGCUAAACAUCCAAACCCAACGUGACGGCUGGGCUCUAACAACACAGAGCAAGUCCCUCCCAGCUUCCAGGCUUCAGAACAUGCUACAGUUUUAAUCAUUUCUGCCACAUUAAUGUGACGCCAGGCGGCUUUUACAGGAAGAACCAUUUAAAAACAAAUUGGGUUGCAGAAACGCGUCGGGCAGCUGGGGAAGUCCAGUCUGCAGCGGGAGCCUCAUGCAGAGACAUUUAUGCAUGAAUUACAGGCAGGCAGACUCUGGUCCACCAUAACCUGUCCGCCUCACCGGCCCAGCAUGCAUUGCACCAGUGAAAAAAUAGUGACCUUUGCAGCCGGUCCACCUCUUUGUCCUCCCACUGGACCAACGUCUGCAGGCCGUGACUCACCACCUCCUCAUCUCUAAUGCACAGCGAACGGCCCCCGUACCUCCAACGCCCCUCACCCACAUUAAUUAAACCCAGAUCAUGUAAACUGCAUGCACACAAUGCAUCAGAGCCCUCGCUGUUUUCAUUGACUCUCAUUACCGACACACAUAAUGAAACCCAGCGCUGAAGGAUUGGUUUUAUGUGCCGACACAAGCACGUUAAUGUAUGCACAAGUGAGAUCAAAAGCAACAGGAAUGCAACAAACAAGACUCCAGAGGCUGAAUCAGAGUCUGUAAAGAACAUUUAAGAAAGGAAACGAGUCAGCAUUGAAGUCUGAGUCACUGGCCCUAAAAUCAGCGAUAUAUUAAAAAAGAAAACAUGUCUACCUGCCAACAUGAGCGUCAGCUGAACAACGACACUGCAAGAGGAAUAAUGAAACGGCUGAAAGGAGCCAAAUUGAUUAAUUACUUUAUUUAGGGUGAGAAAAUAACCCUAAAUAAUCCAUUAUCCGCCUCAUCUCCUUCAUCUUUCCUCGAGGUAAACACACAGAACUAAUCCGACCAUAAUCCAACCUGAAUUAAUAAAC